rnacentral:rRNA from 1 species
AUUGAACGCUGGCGGCAGGCCUAACACAUGCAAGUCGAGCGGAGCGGCGGACGGGUGAGUAAUGCCUAGGAAUCUGCCUGGUAGUGGGGGAUAACGUCCGGAAACGGGCGCUAAUACCGCAUACUAUCAGAUUCGCCUAGGUCGGAUUCGCUAUUUGGUGGGGUAAAGGCCUACCAAGGCGACGAACCGGAACUGGUCUGAGAGGAUGAUCAGUCACACUGAAACUGAGACACGGUACAGACCCCUACGGGGGGCAGCAGUGGGGAAUAUUGGACAGUGGGCGAAAGCCUGAGCCAGCCAUGCCGCGUGUGUGAAGGAGGUCUUGGGAUUGUAAAGCACUUUAAGGUGGGGGACGUUACCAACAAAAUAAGCACCGGCUAACUUCGUGCCAGCCGCCGCGUAAUAC